GUUGGUGGGUGGAGGCUGGGGGUCUAGUAGGGGGUGGACUGUACUUCCUCCCCGACCAACAGUUUCUACGCAGCGGAGGAGAAAUAAAGUGACUGGUGGUGUGUUGGAUGAAGGUCAGCUAACGCAUAUACAUGAAGGAGAUGGCUCGCUAUCUGAACUACUUGGCGUGGCCCUGGCUGUUGGCUCUCUGCUUCUCGCUCACAGUUGCACAAUAUGGGAACUAUGGAGGUGGUGGUGGUGGAGGCGAUAGACAGAUUGGACGCCCGCCUCAUAUUGACAAUGAACAAGGUUACAUUGGUGGUGAUAAUGCUCCUAGACCAGGCUCGGUAAUAUUAACAACUCACAU